rnacentral:rRNA from 1 species
UACGUAGGGUGCGAGCGUUAAUCGGAAUUACUGGGCGUAAAGCGUGCGCAGGCGGCUUUGCAAGACAGAUGUGAAAUCCCCGGGCUCAACCUGGGAACUGCAUUUGUGACUGCAAGGCUAGAGUACGGCAGAGGGGGAUGGAAUUCCGCGUGUAGCAGUGAAAUGCGUAGAUAUGCGGAGGAACACCAAUGGCGAAGGCAAUCCCCUGGCACAAUACUGACGCUGAGGUGCGAAAGCGUGGGGAGCAAACAGG